CUUUUUCAUUUGCAAAUGGAUGUGGGGAUUAAUGCUCUCUUAGCCAAGGACAUGCCUAAGGUGGUGCCUUUGAGACAUUUCCUGAAAUGUGCAUUUGAAGGAAUCUCCUCCAAGCAAGAAAAUGUUACUCUUUGGUUAAGCCAAAGAAAGAGAUACCUUUCUUUGUAUCUCUAUCACAAGAACAGUCAAUUCAUCCAAAUCUUCCCUUUCCUCCAUUCUAAGAAACAGAUUCCGAGAUGACACUAGCCCCAGACAUUUAAAAUUGUGCCACUGUAGCCAUGUGCAGCGGUGCAAAGAGGGAAGGAAGUCCCACCCCCAUCUGUGUUAAUCACCCUUGUGCUCCGCCACUCAUGCUUACAGUGGGACUGUCUGAAGCGGGAAGAGUCCUAUGUGUGAUGGUGUGUGCUUCCCUGAUCACAAGGCUGGAUAGAUCAUCUGAAUGGGGCUACUGUGCUUCAUUAAAACCACUUGGGAAGAGG